GAAAUGCGAUAAGUAAUGUGAAUUGCAGAAUUCAGUGAAUCAUCGAAUCUUUGAACGCACCUUGCGCUCCUUGGUAUUCCUUGGAGCAUGCCUGUUUGAGUAUCAUGAAAUCUUCAAAGUAAAUCUUUUGUUAACUCAAUUGGUUUCUACUUUGGUAUUGGAGGUCUUUGCAGCUUCACACCUGCUCCUCUUUGUUCAUUAGCUGGAUCUCAGUGUUAUGCUUGGUUCCACUCGGCGUGAUAAGUUAUCUAUCGCUGAGGACACUGUAAAAGGUGGCCAAGGUAAAUGCAGAUGAACCGCUUCUAAUAGUCCAUUGAGUUGGACAAUACUUUUAUGAUCUGAUCUCAAAUCAGGUAGGACUACCCGCUGAACUUAAGC
rnacentral:misc_RNA from 1 species